rnacentral:rRNA from 1 species
UGAACGCUAGCGGCAGGCUUAACACAUGCAAGUCGAGGGGCAUCGGGAGUAGCAAUACUUGCCGGCGACCGGCGCAAGGGUGCGUAACGUGUGAGCAACAUGCCCGUAUCAGGGGGGAUAAUCCAUGGAAACGUGGUCUAAUACCCCAUAGUAAUUAUGUAGGGCAUCUUAUAUAAUUUAAAGCUUUGGUGGAUACGGAUUGGCUCGCGUGACAUUAGCUGGAUGGUAAGGUAACGGCUUACCAUGGCUACGAUGUCUAGGGGUUCUGAGAGGAAGGUCCCCCACACUGGAACUGAGACACGGUCCAGACUCCUACGGGAGGCAGCAGUGAGGAAUAUUGGACAAUGGAUGGAAAUCUGAUCCAGCCAUGCCGCGUGCAGGAAGACGGCCCUAUGGGUUGUAAACUGCUUUUGUAUGGGAGCAAUAAGGGCUACGUGUAGUCCGAUGAGAGUACCAUACGAAUAAGCACCGGCUAACUCCGUGCCAGCCGCCGC